rnacentral:rRNA from 1 species
UAAGUGAAGAGUUUGAUCCUGGCUCAGAGUGAACGCUGGCGGCAGGCCUAACACAUGCAAGUCGAACGGCAGCACAG